rnacentral:rRNA from 1 species
GACGAAAGCUGGCGGCGUGCUUAACACAUGCAAGUCGAACGAGUGGCGAACGGGUGAGUAAUACGUGAGUAACCUGCCCUCCUUUUUGGGAUAAGCCUUGGAAACGGGGUCUAAUACCGGAUAUGAGGGGAGGGGCUCGCGGCCUAUCAGCUUGUUGGUGGGGUGAUGGGUACCAAGGCGUGACUGGUAGCCGGCCUGAGAGGGUGACGGGCCACAUUGGGACUAAGAUACGGCCCAGACUCCGACGGGAGGCAGCAGUGGGGUAUAUUGCACAAUGGGCGAAAGCCUGAUGCAGCAACGCCGCGUGCGGGAUGACGGCCUUCGGGUUGUAAACCGCUUUCAGCCAUGACGCGGUAGUGACAGAAGAAGCACCGGCUAACUACGUGCCAGCAGCCGCGGUAAUUC